GGGUGACCCCAGAGGCUUCGGGCACAUGCUGAUGAAAAAUCAAAAUCUCUUAGUGGCUGAAGCAUACUCCAGAAAGGCUAGGAAGCCACCAAGUCAACACCACUCUGAAUAAGCACAGUGGCAGAAAUGAAGACUCAGGGACAUUAAAUGAUGGUAUGUCAGAACCAAGUACCAAGGAAGGACUUCAGAUUUUUUUCCUCCACUAUACCACAAUACUAUGAUUGUUCAUUCUUACUCAGUCCACAUACAGAACCUUACAUAAAGGAUGGAGGCUUGAUUCCAAGUUAAUUAUUUCAGCCACCUCAUCUGUCAUUUCAAUUUGAAUUUAAUGAUAUUCAUAUACUGUAAACCUCC